AAGAGCAUUAGCAUUUAGCUGCACGACGUCGUUCUGCGGUGGUGGCCGAGUAUCAAAGAAAGCGUUUCGCAUGGUCCCAAUAGGUUCGCAUUUCUUUUUCACUUCAAAGCCCAAUUGAUGUUGUUGUACUCGAUCAGGCAGAAUGUAUUUGCGAAAACUGAGGAAAUAAAUCCUCAAAAUCUAUUCUGCUGGUGAAAUCGUCUUUGAAGCAGUUGCGAAGCUUGCUGAGGGGAUCAAUGGUGCUGAUCUUCGUAAUGUUUUCACUGAAGCUGGUUUGUUCGCCAUUCGGGCACAACGUGAUUAUGUGAUUGAUGGAGAUUUCGUGAAGGUAAUGUGUUCCCAAUUUGAUAACGGAAUUUUUGGGGGGAAGGGCAUGCACUUAUUAUAAAUUCUUAAUUGCCUUGGCCUUUUGUGUUUCUGAUCCUUCUGGCUGUGCGCAAAUUGAAUGAAACAAAGAAACUGGAAUCAAGCGCCCAUUAUAAUGUAAAUUUCAGGAUAUAAAAUCAAAUUGUUGUUAGCACUUGGCACAGAUGUUUGUCUGGUUGCAACACAAAGGACUACUGCACCCUUCAUUGUUUGACUUCUUCUAGCCAGUUUUCAAAUGCUUUGCAGGUUAAUGCAUUUCUGAUAUCACAUUCAUUACAUUUUCUUUUCCUUUUUAAAUUUGUAAGACAAAAGAAGGACAUCACCGUUCAUCGUAUAAAAAAGUUGUACCGCAAGUUCAAUUUCUCGCUACCCAAUAUGCUUUUGGUGAAUGGAAGAAAGUUUAGAUUUAAUUGGAAGAUGUACUUUACCGUUUGCGAUGAAUGAAAUACUACCAUCCUUCACUUCUGAUGUCUGCUCAGAUUGUUAUUGUCCAGUGAAAAAAUAAAUCAUCAAUUAAAAAGAAUAUACGUCUGACUUAAGGUGGAAACAAUGUUCAUAACAAUUCGUUUGAAAAUUUGAAGGAUUAAAGUCAAUUAGAUGAUGGCUCAACACUCACGGAAAAAAAUUGCAGGUAGAAUAAAUUCGAGGUACCGUACUUUGUCUACUAAUCUUAUACUUUUCUAAUAAUAUUAAUUUGUCCAUAACUCAAUUAUAAAACUGGAUUAUUUUGGCCUUCAGCACUUACUUUAUAUUAAUUCGAUCAAUCUAUCUUAAAACAGGUUGGCAGCAUCAUUAACUUAUACGAAACGAUCAUAUUACAAUAACAUGGAAUUCUAACUCCUUUGAUAAAUUUGAAAAUGAGUGGAAGACGUGACUUCCUUAAAUUUUGAAAAACUUCUGGUUAGAGUUUUCAAAUUUAUUUAUAGAGUUUAUUUUGAAUUUGGAACUUGUUACAAGGUGUUGAAGAGUUCGUGACCAACCAAUAGAGAAAGAGGUUAAUUUCUGCAGGAACUUAUUCAAGAUUCUGAGUACAUGGUUUUCAACUUAAAUGCCAGAAAAUGGUACGGUAAUACAUGUCCUUAGGAACAUCUGAAUCAAGACCAUUUGCAGAGAAGAUUAUUUGCACUGAAGAUUAAUUCAAGCUAUCACUUCCACUGCAAUGAAUCUAGAGCUUGUUGAUGAAUCUGUUUGUCACCAGCAGCCACAACAUUAAAACCUGCCACAUGCAAAUAAGACAAAGCUUCAAAGGAGCGAUAUUCGAUAAGUGACCAAAACUUUUGGGUCUCAUUUUAUUCAAGGUGGCAAGAAGACCAAGAAAGCAAUUAAGAAUGAAAUUCAAACUAGGGCUAAGGAGAGAUACAUACUUGUGGCGAUUGAAAGUGGAGAAGCUUCCCAAAACAGUUUAUCUCCUUUCCAAUCAGUUAUGACACCUCCAGCGCCUUCAAUAACAGGAAUCAAUGCAAGAAAAUCGUAUGGCUGAAAUACAAUAUUUAACAAACAAAUAUUGUUUUAAUCAUCUUGGGGUACGUUUUGCUCUACACUGGGCAAAAGUUUCUAAAGUUAAACAUGCAACCAAAGGUGAGAGUGCAGCAUACCUUCAGACCAGACUCAACAACAAGAUCCACAAAACCAGAAGACAAAAGUGCAUAUGCAUAGCAGUCGCAGCCAUACAAUGGAAUUUUAACCUGUAAAGGUGCAAAAAGGAAUAACUGUAAAUAUAGAUAUACAUAUUUUUGGGAACAGAAAAAUUUUCAUUUUGGCAAUAAUGUAGCAUUGAUAGAGACAUAACUAAGCAGAAGACAAAGUGCAGUGUGACAUUUUGGAUUCAUAUUCUCUGAUACUUCAGUAGUUCAGAAGGGUUGACAUUGUAAUGGUCAAAAAGGUGUUGUAAAUAAUAUGUAAUUAUGCAUAGAUUUUAGGAUCAAAUUGACCAGGAGAGGUGAAUUCAGUAAUACAAUAAUAGAUUUCGAGCGCCAGAAAAUAAUAUUCCAAAGCUUUAGUGUGUUCUCCGUUACUUGUAUGGAUAAGGCCUAUGUUAUAAAG